AUUUCUUCAGAGCUGAAGCUGGGAAGGCAGGAUCGUCCUAUCGACCAUGAAGCGGUCUUCUUCUUCUCCGUCCUCGCUCGCACGAGCCAUGGCAAUCACCCUGGUGAUCAUAUGCUGCUGCUCCCUGCUGCCAUGCCCAUGCUAUGCUGUUUGCAAAGGGCAUGCAUUUGGUCAGGAGGCUAGGAAGGGCCCAGGGGGACCCGGAAACCAAUGGCCAGGGGGCUGGGGAGGGGCCAGUGGAAGAGGAAACCAUUUUGGUCAGCGGGAUGGGCCAGGGGGAUGGGGAGGUGGAAAUUUGGGUCAGGGGGAUGGGGAUGGAAAUUUGGGAGCACAAGGAAUAAAGGGGGCAGCUGGAGGAAACCAUGUAGGACGGAUGCCUCCGCCGCCGCGGGGCAAGACACCCAGGAACCACAGGUGAUUUGACGGCUGCUGGCAUGCAUGGCCUUGAUCUGGCGCCGCCGGCUGUUAUUGGAAGCUGAUUGCUGCUGGUCUUCCCGGAGGUUGCUUGGGAAUGAUGCUUCUAUCACUAGAGCAAGUGUUGCUUUUGAUUGUAAUUUACGCCGUGAUCCCCAACUUUUUAAACAUUUGUAUCUUGCGCUAGUAGGUUUUUCCCCAUAGUGUGGUUGUUCGAGAGCAAACAUUCACAACGGGUUUCUUACUAAUGCUUCAACUCGCAAGACUCUUUAAUAUUUUUGUUAUUCCCUCA